CCUCUCUCUUCAAAAUAUAACCUCCUCACUCAUGUCCCUGCUCUCUCAUUUCCCUCAAACCCUAACCUAAACACAACCAGCCGCACCAUUUUUCUCUCUUGCAACUCCUGUCGACGGAGCAACUCCGGCCGGCUAGUAUCUUGUUUAUGGGGAAAAUAAUUCACAUUAGUGGAUUAGCUAUGGUGUAUUAUCUAAACCAACAGAAUGCAGUGGAUUAACUAUGGAAAAAGAGAGGAAAAUCAUUCACGUAUCACAAAUCAUUCAACUCCAUCCUCUCUCUCUCUCUUCAAUACUCCUUUUCUCUCUCAUGCAUUUGAAGAUCUGAAGUAAAAUUAAAAAAGAAACCCUCUUUUUUGGGGGUGAUUUGAUGUAGAUCUAAAAAUCUAGUUCUGAAUAAAAAUCAAAGCAACCCCAUCUUUUGUUACAUAGAUCCGUUCACCCAGACCUAGAGUUAGAGAGAGAGUGUGUGUCCAAUUUCAAAGAGAAAGUAAGAGAGAGAGAAAGUGAGGAAGAAGGAUGUCCAAUUUCUCCGAUUGGGUGGUGGGCCGGCGGCAGCGCCGCCGUGAGCGGCGGAGUUCCCCGGUCUCCUCCUGACGAGUUGAUGCUCUGGUCGACUUUGGAGGUUAUGGGUUUAGUUGGUUCAAGACUGGUGGUGGCGGUUUGACGGCUGGGUGGUGGGCCGGCGGCAGCGCCGCGGUGAGCGGCGGAGGUCCCGGUCUCCUCCUGUGUUGUUGAUUUAUCUGGUAUUUUUUUUUUUGCCAUAUGUUCUUGAUUUUUCUUGGUUUAGUAUGUUGGGGAAUUUGAUGUUUGAUAUUUUGUUUUGAUUUGGUAUGUUGGGGAUUUUCAUAUGGGCCUCUGUUCUUGAUGUUUGUUUUGAUUUUGGUAUGUUGGAGAUUUUGAUCUGUGGGUUUUGAUAUGUUCGUUUUUGGGUGGCGAUGUUCUUGUUUGAAAUAUGUUUGAAUGAUGUUCUUGUUUUCCUUUUGAAUGUUCAAAUCGUUUGAAUAUGUUUGAAUGAUGAUCUUGUCCCUUUUGAAUGUUCAAAUCGUUUGAAUAUGUUUGAAUGUUGAAUCUGGGCUUGAAAUAUGUUUGAAUGAUGUUUCUUGUCCCUUUUGAAUGUUUAAAACAGUUGAAUAUGGUGCCUCAUUUUGAAUCGGCAGUGAUGAUGUAAAAAUAACUGACAAUGGCGCGGCAAGGACGGUGGAGGGUAGGUUUUUGAACCUGCAACCCCAUUUUGCAGCCGUUGAUUAUCGGAAAAUCUGAGCCAAAACUUCGUUUUUUUUUUCUAGAAUCCACUCGUUCUUUUGAUUUUUGUUUGUUGGGUUUUUUUUUUAUUUUUAGGCGUCGAUGAUGAUAACAAUAUAUCUGAGACGCUUCAUUGAGUUUGCGAUUUCUGGGUCCGUUCGUUUUUGCGUAAAAAAAUUUUUGUAAAAAAAAAUUAAACUGUAAACUUUUUUACGUCAACCGUAAACUUUUUAACGUAGAAAAUUUUAGGUAAAACGUAAAAACGUAAAUUUUUUUUACUAAAACGAAAAAAACGUUAACGUAAAAACGUUAACGUAAAAACGUUAACGUAAAAAGUAAAACGUAAAACUUAAAACGUAAAACUUAAAAAAGUAAAACGUAAAACUUAAAACGUAAAAAACGUUAACGUAAAAAACCGGCGCGUAAAACGUAAAAAACGUUAAUGUAAAAAACGUUAACGUAAAAAACCGGCGUGUUAAACGUAAAAACGUAAAAAACGUUAACGUAAAAAACCGGCGCGUAAAACGUAAAAAAACGUUGACGUAAAAAACCGGGACGUAAAACGCAAAAAAAACGGCGUGUAAAACGUAAAUAACGUUAACGUAAAAAACCGGCGCGUAAAACGUAAAAAAAACGUUAACGUAAAAAACCGGUGCGUAAAACACAAAAAAAACGUUGACGUAAAAACUGGGACGUAAAACGCAAAAAACCGGCGCGUAAAACAAAAAUAACGUUAACGUAAAAAACCUGGACGUAAAACGCCAAAAACCGGCGCGUAAAACGUAAAUAACGUUAACGUAAAAAACCGGGGCGUAAAACGCAAAAACGGCGCGUUGAAAAAACGACGCGUGAAAAAGCCGGGCGAAAAAACGGGGCGUCAAAAAACGAGGCGUGAAAAAGCCGGGCGAAAAAACGGAAAACAUAAUUUUUAACGUAAAACGUAAAGUUUUUUAACGUAAAUGACGGCGUAAAUAACGGCGUGUAAAAAAAACGACGUUUGAAAAAGCUCGGCUCGCAAAAAACGUAAAUUGUUUUGUUAAAAAAUCUGAAUUUAAAAAUGAUUUUUAAUAAAAAGAUUAUGAUUAAAAAAUAAAAAGUAAUAUAAUAAAACAAAAAU
rnacentral:lncRNA from 1 species